rnacentral:misc_RNA from 1 species
GAUGAAGAACGUAGCGAAAUGCGAUAAGUAAUGUGAAUUGCAGAAUUCAGUGAAUCAUCGAAUCUUUGAACGCACAUUGCGCCCGCUAGUAUUCUGGCGGGCAUGCCUGUCCGAGCGUCAUUUCAACCCUCAAGCCCCCGGGCUUGGUGUUGGGGAUCGGCGAGCCUCCGCGCCCGCCGUCCCCUAAAUCUAGUGGCGGUCUCGCUGUAGCUUCCUCUGCGUAGUAGCACACCUCGCACUGGGAAACAGCGCGGCCACGCCGUUAAACCCCCAACUUCUGAACGUUUGACCUCGGAUCAGGUAGGAAUACCCGCUGAACUUAAGCAUAUCAAUAAGCGGAGGG